AAAUGUUUAGGUUUAAUAAAAUAAAUAAUCUGUUCCUAUCAAUUUAAUAUCUGAUACGUCCCCCAUCGGGGGACUACAUAUUAAAUGGAUUUUUCGAACAGGGAGUCGGAAAUGGGUUUGUCGCUCGCGUCUGCUUCCGCGCAUCGACCGGCUACUUAGGCAGUACACUCCGGGAACGGUAUGCUGAAC